AGCAUAUCAAUAAGCGGAGGAAGAGAAACUAACCAGGAUUCCCCUAGUAACUGCGAGUGAAGCGGGAUGAGCUCAAAUUUCAAAUCUGGCGGUCGUUGUGGCCGUCCGAGUUGUAGUCUGGAGAAGUGUUAUCCGCGUCGGACCGUGUACAAGUCUCCUGGAAUGGAGCGUCAUAGAGGGUGAGAAUCCCGUCCAUGACACGGACGCCCGAUGCUUUGUGAGGCACUCUCGAAGAGUCGAGUUGUUUGGGAAUGCAGCUCAAAAUGGGUGGUAAAUUCCAUCUAAAGCUAAAUAUUGGCGAGAGACCGAUAGCGAACAAGUACCGUGAGGGAAAGAUGAAAAGCACUUUGGAAAGAGAGUUAAAUAGUACGUGAAAUUGUUGAAAGGGAAACGCUUGAAGUCAGUCGCGUCCCGUGGAACUCAGCCUGGCUUCGGCCUGGUGUAUUUUCUAUGCGGACGGGUCAACAUCAGUUUYGGCCGGCGGAAAAYGGCAGAGGGAAUGUAGCGCCGCUUCGGUGGCGUGUUAUAGCCCUCUGUCAAAUACGCUGGCGGGGACUGAGGACYGCAGCACGCCCUUGUGGCCGGGGGUUCGCCCCACGUUCGUGCUUAGGAUGUUGGCAUAAUGGCUUUAAGCGACCCGUCUUGAAACACGGACCAAGGAGUCCAACAUGCUUGCGAGUGUUCGGGUGGUAAACCCUUGCGCGUAAUGAAAGUGAAAGUUGGGAGCCUCCGCAAGGGGGUGCACCGACGCCCGGCCCUGAAGUUCUCUGACGGUGCUGCGGUAGAGCAAGUAUGCUGGGACCCGAAAGAUGGUGAACUAUGCCUGAAUAGGGCGAAGCCAGAGGAAACUCUGGUGGAGGCUCGUAGCGAUUCUGACGUGCAAAUCGAUCGUCAAAUUUGGGUAUAGGGGCGAAAGACUAAUCGAACCAUCUAGUAGCUGGUUCCUGCCGAA
rnacentral:rRNA from 1 species